CUCAUGUCAUAUGUGUGUGUGAAGAAGGGAGGGGCGGAGACAGGUUGGUGAAUAAGACAAAAGCUUUCCUCUUUCCCAAAGAUAUGGAAGACAUUUUCCAGAAACUGCACAGAAUUGAGAUGUAAAGGUUGUAAAGGAGACUGGGCUGUCUUCGGUCUUGUGUGUCCUUUUAAGAGCAAGGAAAAUCUCAUAAUUCUACCCCCAUCCCCAUUCCCAGCAGGCUUUCAUGACUCUUCAGCUUGAAAAACAUGACAUAUCCGUGCCAAGAACCAUCAGAGCAUAGGUGAUGGGAUUACCACGAUUGGCUAAGACUUACGAAGAUUCACGACCUGGGAUACAGAAUCUGUGAGCUGGCUGGAUGGCGAGAAUCUGAGCAAAAGCAGCCAGCAGGGAAAAAAUAGGACAGCUGAGCUCCUUGGGGCAGACAGGGCAGAGGUCUGUGUAGCAAUGAGCAGGUUCUGCCCCACUGGACAAGAAACGGAGACAUCUAGGACACUCUUCCCUGAGAUACUGCCGAUCCAUGGGAUGACUUCAGAAACUGGUGAGGCCGCCUCCAGCUUCUCCAGGCUCUCCAUUCAUCUGGCGCCCAGGGAAUGCCCCAUCGGGGUACCCCGGGACAGACCCACGGUCCUUGCAUUGUGCCCCGGAGGCUCAUCGCGAUGGUUCCUGCCAUGUCCCCGAGAUGCAAUGCUCUCUCCCGGGAGCCACGUGGUGAGAGGCAGCCACGUGUGGGAACAAGAUCUCUGCACAUCUCGAUCUACAGCCAAAUGGGGAGGCAGGGGGACUCCAUGAAAAAAGAGCAUGCAAACUGUAGUCACUUGGCGUCUGCCUCUUGCUGGGUGUGGGGUUUUGUGCAAGCAACCUGACCUCUCGAAAUGUCCACUCCUUAUCUGUAAAAUAGGGAUGAUUUUGGCCACAGCUACCCACUGUGCUGUCUUGAGGAUCAUGGGGAAUGGUGGCUAUGACAACGCUUUAUAAAUUAUUUUUUCAACUCCUUUUUUUAAAAAAAGUAAUCUCUACACCCAAUGUGGG
rnacentral:lncRNA from 1 species